rnacentral:rRNA from 1 species
GGAGGAAAGUAGGGGAUCGAAAGGACCUUAUGCUUUUGGAGCGGCCGAUGUCUGAUUAGCUAGUUGGUAAGGUAAUGGCUUACCAAGGCAACGAUCAGUAGUUGGUCUGAGAGGACGACCAGCCACACUGGGACUGAGACACGGCCCAGACUCCUACGGGAGGCAGCAGUGGGGAAUUUUGGACAAUGGGCGCAAGCCUGAUCCAGCAAUGCCGCGUGAGUGAAGAAGGCCUUCGGGUUGUAAAGCUCUUUCAGCUGAGAAGAAAAGAUUGUAACUAAUAAUUGCAAGCCAUUACGGUAUCAACAGAAGAAGCACCGGCUAACUAAUGCCAGCAUCCGCGGGCAUACGUAGGGUGCGAGCGUUAAUCGGCAUUACUGGGCGUAAAGGGUGCGCCAGGCAGGUUAAAAGUCAGCUUUUCCA